rnacentral:rRNA from 1 species
ACAAUGAAGAGUUUGAUCCUGGCUCAGGAUGAACGCUAGCUACAGGCUUAACACAUGCAAGUCGAGGGGCAUCAGGAAGAAAGCUUGCUUUCUUUGCUGGCGACCGGCGCACGGGUGAGUAACACGUAUCCAACCUGCCCUUUACUCGGGGAUAGCCUUUCGAAAGAAAGAUUAAUACCCGAUAGCAUAAUGAUUCCGCAUGGUUUCAUUAUUAAAGGAUUCCGGUAAAGGAUGGGGAUGCGUUCCAUUAGGUUGUUGGUGAGGUAACGGCCCACCAAGCCUUCGAUGGAUAGGGGUUCUGAGAGGAAGGUCCCCCACAUUGGAACUGAGACACGGUCCAAACUCCUACGGGAGGCAGCAGUGAGGAAUAUUGGUCAAUGGGCGCUAGCCUGAACCAGCCAAGUAGCGUGAAGGAUGAAGGCUCUAUGGGUCGUAAACUUCUUUUAUAUAAGAAUAAAGUGCAGUAUGUAUACUGUUUUGUAUGUAUUAUAUGAAUAAGGAUCGGCUAACUCCGUGCCAGCAGCCGCGGUAAUACGGAGGAUCCGAGCGUUAUCCGGAUUUAUUGGGUUUAAAGGGAGCGUAGGUGGACUGGUAAGUCAGUUGUGAAAGUUUGCGGCUCAACCGUAAAAUUGCAGUUGAUACUGUCAGUCUUGAGUACAGUAGAGGUGGGCGGAAUUCGUGGUGUAGCGGUGAAAUGCUUAGAUAUCACGAAGAACUCCGAUUGCGAAGGCAGCUCACUGGACUGCAACUGACACUGAUGCUCGAAAGUGUGGGUAUCAAACAGGAUUAGAUACCCUGGUAGUCCACACAGUAAACGAUGAAUACUCGCUGUUUGCGAUAUACAGUAAGCGGCCAAGCGAAAGCAUUAAGUAUUCCACCUGGGGAGUACGCCGGCAACGGUGAAACUCAAAGGAAUUGACGGGGGCCCGCACAAGCGGAGGAACAUGUGGUUUAAUUCGAUGAUACGCGAGGAACCUUACCCGGGCUUAAAUUGCAGUGGAAUGAUGUGGAAACAUGUCAGUGAGCAAUCACCGCUGUGAAGGUGCUGCAUGGUUGUCGUCAGCUCGUGCCGUGAGGUGUCGGCUUAAGUGCCAUAACGAGCGCAACCCUUAUCUUUAGUUACUAACAGGUUAUGCUGAGGACUCUAGAGAGACUGCCGUCGUAAGAUGUGAGGAAGGUGGGGAUGACGUCAAAUCAGCACGGCCCUUACGUCCGGGGCUACACACGUGUUACAAUGGGGGGGUACAGAAGGCAGCUAGCGGGUGACCGUAUGCUAAUCCCAAAAUCCUCUCUCAGUUCGGAUCGAAGUCUGCAACCCGACUUCGUGAAGCUGGAUUCGCUAGUAAUCGCGCAUCAGCCACGGCGCGGUGAAUACGUUCCCGGGCCUUGUACACACCGCCCGUCAAGCCAUGGGAGCCGGGGGUACCUGAAGUACGUAACCGCAAGGAUCGUCCUAGGGUAAAACUGGUGACUGGGGCUAAGUCGUAACAAGGUAGCCGUACCGGAAGGUGCGGCUGGAACACCUCCUUU